rnacentral:lncRNA from 1 species
CAAAAUCUCAAUGAUGAUAGGUAGUGUGAGAUAGACUUUGUCUGCGAUCUAGAUCUGUCGAAUAUGGAAAACCGUCUCUCCAUGACAUCAUUUCUCCAUCACUUGUGACGACGACAUUCAGCGACAUGCGACCUCCACCUCUCCACAUCCUAGUCGCACUCCAUCAAGCCCGCCUUCUCCCUUGCUAUUUUCCACAUCCCAGCCUUACUCGAAUUGUGACCCAGAUCUAUCGAAUCUGAAUCGUCUCAGUGUGUGGAGUUUGAUCUCACUCGAAGGACCCGAUGUGUUGGAGAAGGGAGUAUGUGCGAAUGAGUUGGGUGUAGCUUUGUUGUCUCAUAAGUUUUUUUAUUGAAUUUUUGGGGAAUUACCAUUGAUGAGAUUUUAAUUUUUGAUCGGGUGAAGAUUCUGAUAAGCAAUUUUUAAAUGUUGGAUUUUUGUUUUCUUUUGUCAUGUUUUGG